AACGUAGGAGGCGAGCGUUAUCCGGAUUUACUGGGCGUAAAGCGCGUGCAGGUGGUCGGCUAAGUCGUGCGUGAAAGCUCCCUGGCUCAACCGGGAGAGGACGUGCGAGACUGGUCGGCUAGAGACAGAGAGAGGCAAGUGGAAUUCCGGGUGUAGUGGUGAAAUGCGUAGAUAUCCGGAGGAACACCAGUGGCGAAGGCGACUUGCUGGCUCUGUUCUGACACUCAGACGCGAAAGCAUGGGGAGCGAACGGGAUUAGAUACCCCGGUA
rnacentral:rRNA from 1 species